rnacentral:rRNA from 1 species
UACGGAGGAUUCAAGCGUUAUCCGGAUUUAUUGGGUUUAAAGGGUGCGCAGGCGGAAUGUCAAGUCAGCGGUAAAAUUGCGGGGCUCAACCCCGUCGAGCCGUUGAAACUGGCAGACUUGAGUUGGCGAGAAGUACGCGGAAUGCGCGGUGUAGCGGUGAAAUGCAUAGAUAUCACGCAGAACUCCGAUUGCGAAGGCAGCAUACCGGCGCCACACUGACGCUGAGGCACGAAAGCGUGGGGAUCGAACAGG